rnacentral:rRNA from 1 species
UACAGAGGGGGCAAGCGUUGUUCGGAAUUACUGGGCGUAAAGGGCGCGUAGGCGGCCAUUCAAGUCGGAGGUGAAAGCCCAGGGCUCAACCCUGGAAUUGCCUUCGAUACUGUCUGGCUAGAGACCGGAAGAGGUAAGUGGAACUGCGAGUGUAGAGGUGAAAUUCGUAGAUAUUCGCAAGAACACCAGUGGCGAAGGCGGCUUACUGGUCCGGUUCUGACGCUGAGGCGCGAAAGCGUGGGGAGCAAACAGG